rnacentral:tRNA from 1 species
GCCGUCUAGCUCAGUCGGUAGAGCGCAAGGCUCUUAACCUUGUGGUCCUGGGUUUAAGUCCCAGGGUGGGCG